UUCUCAGACUUUCGAAAAAAAACAAAACAAGGGCCAAGAGCCAAAGUCAAAGUGGAAACAUCGGCCCAUUUGUCCACCCUGAACCCACAGCAGUGUCCUCGUGCGCAUAAGCGUGAGUGUGCAUGAGGAGGGAGGCCGUCUCUCUGCGAGUGUGUCAGGGAGUCGGUGCAGCAUCUCGUCCCCGAUUCCUCUUCGCGCUCGCAGUGUUAAUCAGAAAAGUGGGACGCAUGCACCCGGGCACCUCUGUUCCUUAAUGACUCCUUCUCCAAAAAGGCUAUUGUGAGGCCUCAUUUUUCUAUAAAUACACCGUUCUUUUGCCUCCUCCUCCUCCUCUCUUGCCUAGGUGGCUCUCCGAGGGGCCGCUGCUGUCCCAGAAUCGCUCUGCGUCGCUGCGUCACGUGAGGAGCGGUGGGGGGGGGCAACCGAAGACUUCAGCCGGGGGGAUUAGCAGGAUUAUGAGCUGGAUCUUCAACGCAACACAUGCUUCGACCCCUCGUUGAACACUCACCGUGCAACUACUAAAAACGUUUCAUGAAGCCGCCCGUAUGGAUCCAUAACAGCGAUGGCUCAAAUUACUGCGUAACAACUGCCCUGUUUCCUUGAGUAAGUUACUUCCCCUCUUGAAAAGCAGCGACUAUGUAAAGGAGAUAUAAUAAAGAAUGUUUAAUGACAUUAAAUUGAAGCGGAGGAGAAAGUGU